UAGGGAAUUUUCCACAAUGGGCGAAAGCCUGAUGGAGCAACACCGCGUGCAGGAUGAAGGCCUUCGGGUUGUAAACUGCUUUUAUAAGUGAAGAUUAUGACGGUAACUUAUGAAUAAGGAUCGGCUAACUCCGUGCCAGCAGCCGCGGUCAUACGGAGGAUCCAAGCGUUAUCCGGAAUUACUGGGCGUAAAGAGUUGCGUAGGCGGCAGAGUAAGUAGUGCGUGAAAUGACGGGGCUCAACCCCGUGUC
rnacentral:rRNA from 1 species